rnacentral:rRNA from 1 species
CCUACGGGUGGCAGCAGUGGGGAAUAUUGCGCAAUGGGCGAAAGCCUGACGCAGCGACGCCGCGUGAGGGAUGAAGGUCUUCGGAUCGUAAACCUCUGUCAGCAGGGAAGAACGGUCACUGUGCUAAUCAGCAGUGAAUUGACGGUACCUGCAAAGGAAGCACCGGCUAACUCCGUGCCAGCAGCCGCGGUAAUACGGAGGGUGCGAGCGUUAAUCGGAAUUACUGGGCGUAAAGCGCUCGUAGGCGGUAUGUCAAGUCAAGGGUGAAAUCCCCGCGCUCAACGUGGGAACUGCCUUUGAAACUGGCAAACUGGAGUGUGGGAGAGGAAAGUGGAAUUCCAGGUGUAGGGGUGAAAUGCGUAGAUAUCUGGAGGAACAUCAGUGGCGAAGGCGGCUAUCUGGCACAUAACUGACGCUGAGGAGCGAAAGCGUGGGUAGCAAACAGGAUUAGAUACCCGGGUAGUC